UACGGAGGGUGCAAGCGUUAUCCGGAUUCACUGGGUUUAAAGGGUGCGUAGGUGGGUCUGUAAGUCAGUGGUGAAAUCUCCGUGCUUAACAUGGAAACUGCCAUUGAUACUAUAGGUCUUGAAUUUUCUGGAGGUAAGCGGAAUAUGUCAUGUAGCGGUGAAAUGCUUAGAUAUGACGUAGAACACCAAUUGCGAAGGCAGCUUACUACGGGAACAUUGACACUGAGGCACGAAAGCGUGGGGAUCAAACAGG
rnacentral:rRNA from 1 species